rnacentral:misc_RNA from 1 species
GAUGAAGUACGCAGUGAAAUGCGAUACGUAAUGUGAAUUGCAGAAUUCAGUGAAUCAUCGAGUCUUUGAACGCACAUUGCGCCCCCUGGUAUUCCGGGGGGCAUGCCUGUCCGAGCGUCAUUGCUGCCCUCAAGCACGGCUUGUGUGUUGGGCCUCCGUCCUCCUCCCGGGGGACGGGCCCGAAAGGCAGCGGCGGCACCGCGUCCGGUCCUCGAGCGUAUGGGGCUUCGUCACCCGCUCUUGUAGGCCCGGUCGGCGCUUGCCGACACAUCAAUCUUUUUUCCAGGUUGACCUCGGAUCAGGUAGGGAUACCCGCUGAACUUAAGCAUAUCAAUAAGCGGAGGA